UACGUAGGGGGCAAGCGUUGUCCGGAUUUAUUGGGCGUAAAGAGCGUGUAGGCGGCUUGGUAGGUCCGCUGUGAAAACUCGAGGCUCAACCUCGAGAUGUCGGCGGAAACCACUUGGCUAGAGUCCGGAAGAGGAGAGUGGAAUUCCCGGUGUAGCGGUGAAAUGCGCAGAUAUCGGGAAGAACACCCGUGGCGAAAGCGGCGCGCUGGACCACUACUGACGCUGAGGAACGAAAGCUAGGGGAGCAAACAGG
rnacentral:rRNA from 1 species